rnacentral:rRNA from 1 species
AACGAACGCUGGCGGCAUGCCUAACACAUGCAAGUCGAACGAGACCUUCGGGUCUUGUGGCGCACGGGUGCGUAACGCGUGGGAACCUGCCCUUAGGUUCGGAAUAACUCCCCGACAGGGGUGCUAAUACCGGAUAAGGUCUUCGGACCAAAGACUUAUCGCCUUUGGAUGGGCCCGCGUUGGAUUAUCUAGUUGGUAGGGUAAAAGCCUACCAAGGCGUCGAUCCCUAGCUGGUCGGAGAGGAGGAUCAGCCACACUGGGACUGUGACACGGCCCAGACUCGUACGGGAGGCAGCAGUGGGGAAUAUUGGACAAUGGGCGAAAGCCUGAUGCAGCAAUGCCGCGUGAGUGAUGAAGGCCUUAGGGUUGUAAAGCUCUUUUACCCGGGAUGAUAAUGACAGUACCGGGAGAAGAAGCGCCGGCUAACUACGUG